AAUGAACGCUGGCGGCGUGCUUAACACAUGCAAGUCGAACGGGAAAGUAACUUCGGGUUACUGAGUAGGGUGGCGAACGGGUGAGUAGCGCGUGGGUGAUCUACCCUUUGGUGGGGGAUAACCCGGGGAAACCCGGGCUAAUACCGCAUGAGCCUCAGGAUUCGGUUCUUGAGGGAAAGGCCUUCGGGUCGUCGAAGGAGGGGCCCGCGUCCGAUUAGCUGGUUGGUGAGGUCAGAGCUCACCAAGGCGACGAUCGGUAGCCGGUCUGAGAGGACGGACGGCCACACUGGGACUGAGACACGGCCCAGACUCCUACGGGAGGCAGCAGUGGGGAAUUUUGGGCAAUGGGCGCAAGCCUGACCCAGCAACGCCGCGUGGAGGACGAAGGUUUUCGGAUCGUAAACUCCUGUCCCGAGGGACGAAGACGGUGACGGUACCUCGGGAGGAAGCCCCGGCUAACUCCGUG
rnacentral:rRNA from 1 species